rnacentral:lncRNA from 1 species
UAAAUUUUAAAAAUAAUAAUAUAAGUUAAAAUUUUAAUCAUAUUAAGCUGAUUUUGUUUUUAAAAAAAAGUCCUGUUUAUUUCUCAAGUAAUUUAUAUAUAUUUGUUUUAAAAUGUUCUGUUUCCUGGUUUAGCCAGCACAUGGCCAACUGGUCACAUGACUUGACUGGUCGCCAUUUUGCUAAAGUUAAAAAAAAAUACUUAAGCCGCCAUCUUGACUAAAGGUGACCCCAUGGAAAUUAGAGUUUAUAAUGUCAGACAGACUGCCAGAUCCGGACAGUGACCCAAAGUCUCCAAAGAAGAUUACGAGGCACCUCAGUUCCUGCACCUGGACCAGUGAGCGAGAUGCUCAGAUGUGAUACCUGCCGCCUGCCAGAACCUGGCCGAGACUGUGGACAAAGCUGCUGGACACUGGAAAAUUGAUUGCACCCCUUUGCCUAGACAAAACAAGGUUUCUGCUUCUGGCAGACAUCUGAAUAUCAGUUGCUGACUACAGACUGUUCUAAGACUGCGAGCCCUGGACUUGCUGUGGAUGUGAACCAGUUCAGCUGAUAUGGACACCCCCUGUCUCUGCAACAGUGUCUGCUACCC